UUUUUUUUAAGACCGGAGAGCAACCAUUUCUACUUUGGAAUUGUGUGUGUAUAAUAUAUAUAUAUAUAUUUUAUUAUUUUUUAAAAAAUUUUUUAAUUGGGGUAGCCCCCAAAAUAUUGGGACAUUUAAAAAAAAAAAGACAACUCUAUUGCGCAGAGUAGCUGUUGACAUUAUUGUUGCGCAGGCACUUUGUUGACUCUAGAGAACCUUCGGCCAAUCGCAAAUUCCCGUGGCGGCGACUUUGCAUGCAGAUGUCAUCCAUAUCAACAUUCGAUGCUAGUUUCUGCGCCUACCAUGGUGACCACGGGUAACGGGGAAUCAGGGUUCCAUUCCGUACAGGGACCCUGAGAAACAGCUACCACAUGCAAGGAAGACAGCAGCAGCGCAAAUGACCCACUCCCGACUUGGGAAGGUAGUGACGACAAAUAACAAUACAAGACUCUUUAGAGUCCACUUGAAAUCCUUUAACUCUGAUCAAUUGGAAGGAAGUCUGGUGCAGAGCCACUGACCCGUGCGUGCUGCAGCUGAAACUCCACUA